rnacentral:lncRNA from 1 species
UACCAAGAUGUUCCUCUUGUCAACUUGGCCAACCUUUUGAUUCAUUACGGCCUUCAUCUUGAUGCCACUAAGCUGCUACUUCAAGCUUUGGCCAUCAAUAGCUCUGAGCCUCUGACCUUUUUGAGCCUGGGAAAUGCUUACCUUGCUCUGAAGAAUAUCAGUGGGGCACUUGAGGCCUUUAGACAGGCCUUGAAAUUAACCACCAAAUGUCCAGAGUGUGAAAACAGCCUGAAGUUGAUCCGCUGUAUGCAGUUUUAUCCUUUUCUGUACAACAUCACUUCUUCUGUUUGCAGUGGUAA